rnacentral:rRNA from 1 species
AGCGAACGCUGGCGGCAGGCCUAACACAUGCAAGUCGAACGAACCCUUCGGGGUUAGUGGCGGACGGGUGAGUAACACGUGGGAACGUGCCUUUAGGUUCGGAAUAACUCUGGGAAACUUGUGCUAAUACCGAAUGUGCCCUUCGGGGGAAAGAUUUAUCGCCUUUAGAGCGGCCCGCGUCUGAUUAGCUAGUUGGUGAGGUAAUGGCUCACCAAGGCUACGAUCAGUAGCUGGUCUGAGAGGAUGACCAGCCACAUUGGGACUGAGACACGGCCCAAACUCCUAUGGGAGGCAGCAGUGGGGAAUCUUGCGCAAUGGGCGAAAGCCUGACGCAGCCAUGCCGCGUGGAUGAUGAAGGUCUUAGGGUUGUAAAAUCCUUUCACCGGUGAAGAUAAUGACUGUAGCCGGAGAAGAAGCCCCGGCUAACUUCGUGCCAGCCGCCGCCGUAAAAC